rnacentral:rRNA from 1 species
CCUACGGGAGGCAGCAGUGAGGAAUAUUGGUCAAUGGCCGAGAGGCUGAACCAGCCAAGUAGCGUGAAGGAUGACUGCCCUAUGGGUUGUAAACUUCUUUUAUACGGGAAUAAAGUGAGGCACGCGUGCCUUUUUGUAUGUACCGUAUGAAUAAGGAUCGGCUAACUCCUUCCAGCAGCCGCGGUAAU